AGACUGGCUUCCUUGUUCCUCACCUUGUAGAUGGCAUAUUGUGAGAGUCCACCUUGUGAUCAUGAAUUGCUGGUCCCCCUAAAACUCAACAACGACAUUUCCGUACCUAUCUACAUGAUCACAUGCAGUUUUUUCUUCUAAUUUGUUUGCACAAGGAAUUAUGUAGGAAUCAGGUUGUUAUUGGUGAAACUGUGCCCCUCCCACACCCCGAAUUCACAUGGUGAUGUGUUAACCCGCGGUACCUCACAAUAUGACCUUAUUUGGAGAUAGGCAUUUUACAGAGGUAAUCAAGUAAAAAUGAGGUCAUUAGGAAGGCCCUAACCCAGGACGACAGUGUCCCCUAUAAGAAGGAGGAAAUUGGACAUAGACAUGCAGAGGCGAGCGUCAUGGGAAGAUGAAGCCAGAGAUCAGGAUAUUGCUUCAACAUGCCGAAGAACACCAAAGACUUCCAGAAAACCACCAGGAAUUCGGUGAGAGGGAUGGAAUAGCUGCUCCCUCACAGCUCCUCAAAGGAACCACCCCUUCUAGCUUCCAGAGCUGUUGGAUGAUAAAUGUACAUUACUUAAGCCACUCAGUUUGUGGUACUUCGUUAUGGCAGCCUAAGAAACUAAUACUCAGGUUGUUAUAAUGUCAGCCUGAGCCAUCCUGCACAUCCAU